GAUGAACGCUGGCGGCGUGCCUAACACAUGCAAGUCGAACGGAGUCGUUUUGGAAAUCUCUUCGGAGAUGGAAUUCUCGACUUAGUGGCGGACGGGUGAGUAACGCGUGAGCAAUCUGCCUUUAAGAGGGGGAUAACAGUCGGAAACGGCUGCUAAUACCGCAUAAAGCAUUAAAUUCGCAUGUUUUUGAUGCCAAAGGAGCAAUCCGCUUUUAGAUGAGCUCGCGUCUGAUUAGCUAGUUGGCGGGGUAACGGCCCACCAAGGCGACGAUCAGUAGCCGGACUGAGAGGUAGAACGGCCACAUUGGGACUGAGACACGGCCCAGACUCCUACGGGAGGCAGCAGUGGGGAAUAUUGCGCAAUGGGGGAAACCCUGACGCAGCAACGCCGCGUGAUUGAAGAAGGCCUUCGGGUUGUAAAGAUCUUUAAUCAGGGACGAAACAAAUGACGGUACCUGAAGAAUAAGCUCCGGCUAACUACGUG
rnacentral:rRNA from 1 species